rnacentral:rRNA from 1 species
GACGAACGCUGGCGGCGUGCUUAACACAUGCAAGUCGAACGGAAAGGCCCUGCUUUUGUGGGGUGCUCGAGUGGCGAACGGGUGAGUAACACGUGAGUAACCUGCCCUUGACUUUGGGAUAACUUCAGGAAACUGGGGCUAAUACCGGAUAGGAGCUCCUGCUGCAUGGUGGGGGUUGGAAAGUUUCGGCGGUUGGGGAUGGACUCGCGGCUUAUCAGCUUGUUGGUGGGGUAGUGGCUUACCAAGGCUUUGACGGGUAGCCGGCCUGAGAGGGUGACCGGCCACAUUGGGACUGAGAUACGGCCCAGACUCCUACGGGAGGCAGCAGUGGGGAAUAUUGCACAAUGGGCGGAAGCCUGAUGCAGCAACGCCGCGUGCGGGAUGACGGCCUUCGGGUUGUAAACCGCUUUCGCCUGUGACGAAGCGUGAGUGACGGUAAUGGGUAAAGAAGCACCGGCUAUCUACGCG